UUUAUUAUUGGCAUAGCAGCAGUACAGCGCAAAGCCCCUUCUCCAUAGGGAAAGUGCCACUGGCGUAGCUAUUCUUGAGCAUUACCAUCGUCAAACCGACUCUGUAAUUCACAACUAUAACUCUGAUCAGAGUGAUCAAUCAAUCAAUUCAAUUUCGAUCGAGAUUGGGGUUUUGGGGAAUUUCGCUGCAGCUUCAAGCAGUAGAAGAGAAAUGGAUUCUUACGGUUUUCACGACGGCAAUAUAUAUAAUUUGCUGGAAAGCAGAUACUUCCGCGCUCGCCAUGACAUCAAUCACGGUUUACAAAUGCAUUCCUCGUUGAUAAGGAGGCUCUCCCAGGAAAAUGAAUUGGAGGGGCAUCAGGGUUGCGUCAACUCUAUAGCUUGGAAUUCUACGGGGUCACUCUUGAUUUCUGGAUCAGAUGACACUCGGAUGAAUAUAUGGAGCUAUAAUGGUCGAAAGCUAUUGCAUUCUAUAGAUACUGGGCAUUCUGCAAACAUAUUCUGUACGAAGUUUAUUCCUGAAACUUCGGAUGAGCUUGUGGUAUCUGGAGCUGGAGAUGCAGAAGUUCGAUUGUUUAAUUUGUCUCGACUAAGUGGGAUAGGUCCAGAUGAUAAUGCCAUUGCUCCGACAGCUGUGUAUCAAUGUCACACUAGAAGAGUAAAAAAAUUAGCUGUUGAAGUUGGAAAUCCCAAUGUGGUUUGGAGUGCAAGUGAAGAUGGGACACUGAGACAGCAUGACUUUCGGGAGGGUGCUUCUUGUCCACCAGCUGGAUCUUCACCCCAAGAGUGCCGUAAUGUUCUACUUGACUUGCGUUGCGGGGCAAAGAGGUCAUUACCUGAUCCCCCUAGACAGACGCUUGCUUUAAAAUCUUGUGACAUCAGUGCCAGCCGGCCUCAUCUGCUCCUAGUUGGUGGGAGUGAUGCCUUUGCUCGUCUAUAUGAUAGAAGGAUGCUGCCUCCUCUGACUUCCUGUCGGAAAAGGAUGCCUCCACCUCCUUGUGUUAACUAUUUCUGCCCAAUGCAUCUUUCUGAACGUGGACGUUCAGGAUUGCAUCUAACUCACGUGACAUUUAGUCCGAGUGGAGAUGAGGUUCUACUUAGUUACAGUGGAGAGCAUGUAUACCUCAUGAAUGUAAAUCAUGCUGGAGGGGGUGCUAUGCGAUAUGCUUCAGGUGAUGCUUCAAAACUAAUGACCUUCAAUCCUAUUCUCAAUGGGCUAGAAUUGCAACCACCACCAUCUGUUGUCUACAAAGGCAGUCUUUGUUUCAAAAGCAAUGUUGCUUCUGUGCUUGAAAAGUGUAGAAAGUUGGUUCAAAUUGCUGAAAAAUGCUUAGAGGGUUCAAAUUAUUACGAAGGAAUUGAGGCUUGCAAUGAAGUGUUGGAUCGGUAUGGUCAUGAUAUUGGUCCUGCAAUCAGGCACGAUUGUCUCUGCACGCGUGCAGGGCUGUUGCUUAAGAGGAAGUGGAAAAAUGACGUUCACAUGGCCAUAAGAGAUUGCUAUAAUGCUCGAAGAAUAGACAGCUCUUCCUUUAGAGCCCUUUAUUAUAUGUCUGAAGCUUUGUCACAGUUGGGAAAAUACAAAGAAGCUCUAGAGUUUGCUGUUGCCGCUCAAUCUGUGGUCCCAUCCAAUAUUGAAAUUGCAGAAUUGAUAGAUAACUUACAAAAGAAUCUUGCUGCAGCUGAAGCAGAAAAAACUAAUAAAGCAAAUGAUGGGCCUCUGAGGUCUGAAUCUCAUAGUGGAAGAGCAUUGUCACUAAGUGACAUACUUUAUCGUUCAGAGGCUAACAGUGAUGCUUCACAAGAUGGUCCUACGUCUGAAAGAGAAGAUUCUGACUAUGAUGAGGAAUUGGAAUUGGACUUUGAAACGUCAAUAUCAGGUGAUGAAGGACGUGAAAUUGAACCCAAUACUCUUCACGGAAGUUUAAAUUUGAGGAUUCAUCGAAGAGGUGAUUCAACUCGAGAAACAAGUUGUGUAAAUGGCUCCUGCGGAUCACCUUCAUCAUCACAAAAUGAUCGGAAGCCUUAUCAGCCGGAGACAGUCAUUGAUAUGAAGCAAAGAUUUGUUGGCCACUGUAAUGUUGGAACUGACAUAAAGCAGGCCAGUUUUCUGGGCCAGAGAGGUGAGUAUGUAGCGAGUGGAAGUGAUGAUGGUAGAUGGUUUAUUUGGGAAAAGCAAACUGGUAGACUAAUAAAAAUGCUGCUUGGAGAUGAAGCUGUUGUGAAUUGUGUGCAGUGCCAUCCAUUUGAUUGUGUUGUGGCUACAAGUGGUAUUGACAACACGAUAAAGAUUUGGUCUCCAACUGCUUCUGUCCCAUCAAUCGUAACUGGAGGAUCAGCUGGACCAGAAACUUCUAAUGUGUUGGAAGCCAUGGAAAGCAAUCAGCAUAGAUUAAGCCAUAAUCGUGAAGUUAUCCUUUGCAGCCCCUUUGAACUUCUGGAGCGUUUUCGGAUGCAUGAAUUUACUGAAGGAACUUUGCACCCUCUUGAGUGUGCACAGAGCUAAGCAUAAUCUGCCUUUAUUGAAGAGUGCAGGCAGAAAUUCUGGAAGUCCUCGUCUUUGGUUGUCUCCCAACUUUAGCAUAUACUCUCUGCCUUUGAUGCUCAUCUGAGGAUGUGUAAUCUCAGUUUGAAUUCCACAUGGUAUCUGGUGAAUUAUAAAUGGAGUGGUAUGUUUUGGUUCUGCAAAAGCUCAGGAAAGAUACAGGAAGCCAAUCUUUUAUUGGUAGUAGGAAAUUAGUUGACUGUGUAAAGGCUUGAGGUCCCUGAGAAUAAGUAGCAAUCCCAAAUAAGUUGUUUCCAUAGUUAAAUUUUCUUGUAGAGCCUCAGUUACUUCUCUCUCUCUCUCUCUCUCUCUCUCUCUCUCCCACUUUUUUGUUUUUCUCCUUGAUGCGAAAAAAUCUGUUUGUUAAUGUAUUUGUUGAAAAUGUUCCUGUACAGAUGAGAUUUUCUUCUGAUGUAGAUAUCUUUAUUUCAAAUAGUUUUUAUACUGAAUAAAUGCACUUUUGUAUUCUA